CACGCCGUAAACGAUGAGUGCUAGGUGUCGGGGGGGGAACCCUCGGUGCCGCAGCUAACGCAAUAAGCACUCCACCUGGGGAGUACGAUCGCAAGAUUGAAACUCAAAGGAAUUGACGGGGGCCCGCACAAGCGGUGGAGCAUGUGGUUUAAUUCGAAGCAACGCGAAGAACCUUACCAAGGCUUGACAUCCCUCUGACCGGUGUAGAGAUACACCUUCUCUUCGGAGCAGAGGUGACAGGUGG
rnacentral:rRNA from 1 species